rnacentral:rRNA from 1 species
AGGCCUUGACAUGGGAAGCGAAGACUUAGAGAUAAGUUGGAGGAUAUCUUCCACACAGGUGGUGCAUGGUUGUCGUCAGCUCGUGUCGUGAGAUGUUCAGUUAAGUCUGGCAACGAGCGCAACCCUCGUGAUAUGUUGCUAACAUCCAGUUGAGGACUCAUAUCAGACUGCCGGUGUCAAACCGGAGGAAGGCGGGGAUGACGUCAAAUCAUCAUGCCCCUUAUGGCCUGGGCUACACACGUACUACAAUGGCGUCUACAGCAGGAAGCAAGCCAGUGAUGGCAAGCAAAGCGGCAAAGGGCGUCCCAGUUCGGAUUGAAGUCUGCAACCCGACUUCAUGAAGAUGGAAUCGCUAGUAAUCGCGGAUCAGCAUGCCGCGGUGAAUACGUUCCCGGGCC